AGUAUUUUGACUAUACAAAGGUAUUGUAAUAAGAUUUUAAUUGAAUGCUAAAAGAAUGGAAAUUUAAAAAAAAACUUUUUUAAAAAUAAAAAUUGAAUUUUUUUUAAUUUGUGCAAAAACAAUUAUAUUUAUUAAAGACAAGAAGACCCUAAGAAUUUAAGAUUUUACAAUUAAAAAGUUUUUUUUUUAAAAUCUUGAUUGGGGCGAUCAAAAAAUAUUAAUAACUUUUUAAAAUUUAAAUUGAUCUAUUAUUAAUAAACUAAUGAAUUAAAUACUCUAGGGAUAACAGCGUAAUAAUUUUUGAUAGAUCUUAUUGACAAAAUAGUUUGCGACCUCGAUGUUGGAUUAGGAUUCUUUUUUAAUGAAGAAGUAAAAAAAGAAGUUUGUUCAACUUUUAAAUUCCU
rnacentral:rRNA from 1 species